ensembl:lncRNA
AUUUACUAUUUGUUGACUACUUUAUGGAGUAAUUAAAUAAUACCGCUGACAACAGACACCCUUAUCUUAAUUCUAACUGUGAUGUUUAAGUCUCUGUGUCAAAUUGAUAACCAUAAGGGAUGCUCAGAUAGCUGGCUAAACAUUAUUUCUGGGUGUGUCCUUGACAGUGUUUUUGGAAGAGAUUUUCAUUUCAGUCAGUGGACACAGUAAAGAAGAUCUACCCUCACCAAUAUGGAUGGGCAUCAUCCAAUCAAUUGAAGGCCUGAAUAGAGCAAAAUGGCCGAAGAAGGGUGCAUUCUCUCUCUCCCUGAGCUGAGAUGUCCAUCUUCUCCACUUGGAGAAUAUUUUUAUAAAGAGCAUUUGCACUCCCUAAAAACUUCCCAGUCUCUUCAUUCCAGACUAUUAAUGAGGUAGUCAAACUGAGCAGAACAAUUUCCAGGAAGAAAUUCUUGCUCGAGUUCUGAGCAGUGUGGUCUUGGAGAACAACUGAACAUUUUCGAUAUGGGAUCUGAAGUCACAGGAGAUGCCAGCUUUCAGAGAAGAAAACAUUUGGUGAGAUACCAAGUUUAUU